AUUGAACGCUGGCGGCAUGCUUUACACAUGCAAGUCGAACGGUAACAUAAGAAAGCUUGCUUUCUUGAUGACGAGUGGCGAACGGGUGAGUAAUACAUCGGAACGUACCCUGUAGUGGGGGAUAACUACUCGAAAGAGUGGCUAAUACCGCAUACAACCUGAGGGUAAAAGUGGGGGACCGCAAGGCCUCACGCUAUAGGAGCGGCCGAUGGAAGAUUAGGUAGUUGGUGGGGUAAAGGCCUACCAAGCCGACGAUCUUUAGCGGGUCUGAGAGGACGAUCCGCCACACUGGGACUGAGACACGGCCCAGACUCCUACGGGAGGCAGCAGUGGGGAAUUUUGGACAAUGGGCGAAAGCCUGAUCCAGCAAUGCCGCGUGAGUGAAGAAGGCCUUCGGGUUGUAAAGCUCUUUUGUUUGGGAAGAAAUCCUUAAGGCUAAUAUCCUUGGGGGAUGACGGUACCAAAAGAAUAAGCACCGGCUAACUACGUGCCAGCCGCCGCCGUAACAC
rnacentral:rRNA from 1 species